AUGUUGGAUGCUUGCAUUUAACUGAUUUAGCCUUUAGACGAGUGGCGAACUGGUGAGUAACACGUGGGUAACCUGCCCUUGAAGUAGGGGAUAACACUUGGAAACAGGUGCUAAUACCGUAUAACAACCAAAACCACCUGGUUUUGGUUUAAAAGAUGGCUUCGGCUAUCACUUUAGGAUGGACCCGCGGCGUAUUAGCUUGUUGGUAAGGUAACGGCCUACCAAGGCAAUGAUACGUAGCCGACCUGAGAGGGUAAUCGGCCACAUUGGGACUGAGACACGGCCCAAACUCCUACGGGAGGCAGCAGUAGGGAAUCUUCCACAAUGGACGAAAGUCUGAUGGAGCAACGCCGCGUGAGUGAUGAAGGGUUUCGGCUCGUAAAACUCUGUUGUUGGAGAAGAACAGGUGUGAGAGUAACUGUUCACAUCUUGACGGUAUCCAACCAGAAAGCCACGGCUAACUACGUGCCAGCAGCCGCGGUAAUACGUAGGUGGCAAGCGUUGUCCGGAUUUAUUGGGCGUAAAGCGAGCGCAGGCGGUUUCUUAGGUCUGAUGUGAAAGCCUUCGGCUUAACCGGAGAAGUGCAUCGGAAACCAGGAGACUUGAGUGCAGAAGAGGACAGUGGAACUCCAUGUGUAGCGGUGAAAUGCGUAGAUAUAUGGAAGAACACCAGUGGCGAAGGCGGCUGUCUGGUCUGUAACUGACGCUGAGGCUCGAAAGCAUGGGUAGCGAACAGGAUUAGAUACCCUGGUAGUCCAUGCCGUAAACGAUGAGUGCUAAGUGU
rnacentral:rRNA from 1 species